rnacentral:rRNA from 1 species
CCUACGGGUGGCAGCAGUGAGGAAUAUUGGUCAAUGGCCGAGAGGCUGAACCAGCCAAGUCGCGUGAGGGAAGACGGCCCUACGGGUUGUAAACCUCUUUUGUCGGGGAGCAAAGCGCGUCACGUGUGACUCAUUGAGAGUACCCGAAGAAAAAGCAUCGGCUAACUCCGUGCCAGCAGCCGCGGUAAUACGGAGGAUGCGAGCGUUAUCCGGAUUUAUUGGGUUUAAAGGGUGCGCAGGCGGAGGUGCAAGUCAGCGGUAAAAUUGCGGGGCUCAACCCCGUACUGCCGUUGAAACUGCAUCCCUUGAGUGCGCGAGAAGUAUGCGGAAUGCGUGGUGUAGCGGUGAAAUGCAUAGAUAUCACGCAGAACUCCGAUGGCGAAGGCAGCAUACCGGCGCGCAACUGACGCUCAUGCACGAAAGCGUGGGUAUCGAACAGGAUGAGAUACCCUAGUAGUC